CCGUGUUCCGUACCCUAAACAGUCUUUAAGAACUUUCUGGUGGGGCUGUUUAAAGACUUUGGUCCACCUAGCGCCUAUAAAUAAUGUGCUGUUUUUAUGACAACGUACAAUACGAAGCAUGGAAGGAAUAUUUGAAAAUUUAUGAUCCACAGAUAUGUUUCGUGUAAAAAUGGAAGGAAGACAUGUCGAACGUCUACAAAUAUGAAAAUUUGUGCUACAUUUCCAUUUUAUAGAGUGUGUAGUAUAUCCAAUAUAAUAUUAAAGAAGCUCAGUCAUGAUAUCGGACGCUAAUGAAUAAUAGAGGUUGAUGUUUUAUAUAUAUAUAUUCGUAUAUUUGUAUGUCGUAUUUAUUUUCGUAUAGUUUUCCAGAAUCUAUGUUGAUUAGACAUUUUCAUUCCUCUCGAGGAUACCCAAGUAGGUAUUAUAAGUCCUUUAAGCAUCGGAUUUCUUUCUUGGGACACUCUAUAUACUACAAUUUUAUUGGGUCAUUUCUUAAAUUGAUGUUUCCACACGUGAAACGAAACCGAAGAUUUUCAUUACUUGCUCUUACAUCUUGAUAUCGUUAACCGUAAUCAAAGAAACCAAUCUGUUGACCAUUAUCAUCGAGCAAUUAAACCGACGUUUAUGGUAGAAACCGGUCAACCUCAACCCUGAUUCGUUCGUCUUUUCUUUCUGAAGCAACGUCACCGAAAUUUCUCAAUUCGUUCACUGAAAAAACACCUUGCAACAUGAUUAUAACAUCG